CCUACGGGAGGCUGCAGUGAGGAAUAUUGGUCAAUGGGCUUACGCCUGAACCAGCCAAGUCGCGUGAGGGAAGACUGCCCUAUGGGUUGUAAACCUCUUUUGUCAGGGAGCAAUUGGCGCUACGUGUAGCGUUAUCGAGAGUACCUGAAGAAAAAGCAUCGGCUAACUCCGUGCCAGCAGCCGCGGUAAUACGGAGGAUGCGAGCGUUCGCCGGAUUUAUUGGGUUUAAAGGGUGCGUAGGCGGAAUGCCAAGUCAGCGGUAAAAUCGCGGGGCUCAACCUCGCUCCGCCGUUGAAACUGGCGUUCUUGAGUGGGCGAGAAGUAUGCGGAAUGCGUGGUGUAGCGGUGAAAUGCAUAGAUAUCACGCAGAACUCCGAUUGCGAAGGCAGCAUACCGGCGCCCAACUGACGCUGAAGCACGAAAGCGUGGGUAGCGAACAGGAUUAGAUACCCGUGUAGUC
rnacentral:rRNA from 1 species